UCUCUCUCUCUCUCUCUCUCUCUCUCUCUCUCUCUCUCUCUCUCCACACCUCUCUCUCUCUCUCUCUCUCUCUCUCUCUCUCUCUCUCUCUCUCUCUCUCUCUCUCUCUCUCUCUCUCUCUCUCUCUUCUCUCUUCUCUCUCUCUCUCUCUCUCUCUCUCUCUCUCUCUCUCUCUCUCUCUCUCUCUCUCUCUCUCUCUCUCUCUCUCUCUCUCUAUAUCUAUCUAUCUACAUAGGGUACUGCUAUUUUGGGACAAAGUUGAAUCACCCCAUCUGAAGAUCCAGUUGAUUCCUCAGUGCCACUUUAAGAGGGGAAGGCUCCACUUUAGCAGAUUGUAAACUACUCAAACAAACACGUGAUCGUAAAAACAAAUCUCCCCUCCAUGCAGUAAUUCCCUGUUUAGUUGGUUGCUUCUGCUCCACGGUUUCAUGUUUGUCUUGUGAAGCAAUGUCAAGGAGGAAGGACUUUUUUUUUUAAGCGUUGUACUUUUUAGAGACAGACAGAAAAGUACCCUUCCUCGGAUACAUAACAUAAUUCCACCGGCAUGGUGAGAGUACCCUGCCUCUGUCAGAUGAUCAGCUUUGUGAUGUUGAGAAAUGCAAUAGCUGAAAUGGCCCCCCUAUGCAGUUCUGUAACCUCUAGGGAGGAUGUUGAAUUAGACAGGUCUGGAGUCAGUUCUGUAACCUCUACCCGUAGGGAGGAUGUUGAAUUAGACAGGUCUGGAGUCAGUUCUGUAACCUCUACCCGUAGGGAGGAUGUUGAAUUAGACAGGUCUGGAGUCAGUUCUGUAACCUCUACCCGUAGGGAGGAUGUUGAAUUAGACAGGUCUGGAGUCAGUUCUGUAACCUCUACCUGUAGGGAGGAUGUUGAAUUAGACUGGUCUGGAGUCAGUUCUGUAACCUCUACCCGUAGGGAGGAUGUUGAAUUAGACUGGUCUGGAGUCAGUUCUGUAAUCUCUACCCAUAGGAAGGAUGUUGAUUUAGACAGGUCUGGAGUCAGUUCUGUAACCUCUACCCGUAGGGAGGAUGUUGAUUUCUGUGACCUCUACUCUUUUAUUAAGCUAAUCUUUGUAUCCCGAUUUUUCAUUUUGGGGCUUUGAUUCAAUCUGCUUGAUUGACAUUUAAGGGAAAUGUUUCUGCGUUUGUGGUGACAGAAAUCACCUUUACAUCUCUUCCACGCUAUAACGUAGCUCAACCGCGCUACAACGUAGCUCAAGCUCAACCGCGCUACAACGUAGCUCAACCGCGCUACAACGUAGCUCAACCGCGCUACAGGUUGAAUGAAGCCCUUGGACUUUUUACGACCCACGCCCCUAAUCCACGACCCACGUAAUGUAAUAUGGAGUGUACCCUCAUGAGCACCUCUUCCGUAUUCAUCAACUCUUAUGGCAAAUGGGUUAGUGCUUGUGUGACCUUCAACCUUUCUCAAGGCCCCAGAAUGCCUUGGCCUUGCUUGACCUUUGGAACUCUCUAGACUCUAGUGUGGUACAGUAGCCCAGCUUGUUAAUGACUGUGAUAUGAGUUGUCCGUGUCGUAAAGCAAUUAUGAAUGUCUUGAGUAGUGCUUACGAAGCUCUAAUGUACACAUUAUAACGAGAACCUUGUACAACGCAGUCCUCAUGUCAGAUCCUUUAUGGUGCACAUCUGUGCAUGUGUUUGUCAGUAUUCUGUAUGUAAUGUAUAAUAUAUAUAAUGUAUAGCGAGCUCUGUGUAGUCGGAAUACAACAAUGAUACCAGUGAAGUGUAUACAAAAGGAGGAUAUGCACAAUAUUGACAUUGUGUAAAAUGAUUAUUAUGAUAUAUGUAUUAUCUUGCUCAUACAUACGUACGCAUAUGGUAUUCCUGUGUGGUAUUUGAAUUAUAUAUAUAUUAAUGUAUAUAUGGUACCAGUCAAAAGUUUGGAAAUACCUACUCAUUCAAUGGUUAUUCUUUAUUUUUACUAGUUUUUAAAUUGUAGACUAAUAGUGAAGACAUCACAACUAUGAAAUAACACAUAUGGAAUCAUGUAGUAACCAAAAAAGUGUUAAGCAAAUUAAAAUAUAUUUUAUAUUUGAGAUUCUUCAAAGUAGCCACCCUUUGCCUUGAUGACGUCUUUGCACACUCUUGACAUUUUCUCAACCAGCUUCACCUGGAAUGCUUUUCCAACAUUUUUGAAGGCGUUCCCACAUAUGCUGAGCACUUGUUGGCUGCUCUUCCUUCACUGCGGUCCAACUCAUCCCAAACCAUCUCAAUUGGGUUGAGGUUGGGUGAUUGUGGAGGCCAGGUAAUCUGAUGCAGCACUCCAUCACUCCUUCUUGGUCAAAUAGCCCUUACACAGCCUGGAGGUGUAUUGGGUCAUUGUCCUGUUGAAAAACAAAUGAUUGUCCCAGUAAGUGCAAACCAGAUGGGAUGUCGUAUCACUACAGAAUGCUGUGGUAGCCAUGCUGGUUAAGUGUGCCUUGAAUUCAAAAUAAACCACUGACAGUGUUGCCAGCAAAGCACCCCCACACAUCACACCUCCUCCUCCAUGCUUCACGGUGGGAACCACACAUGCAGAGAUCAUCCGUUCACCCACUCUGCGUCUCACAAAGACACGGCGGUUGAAACUAAAAAUCUAAAAUUUGGACUCGUCAGACAAAAGGACAGAUUUCCACCGGUCUAAUGUCCUUUGCUCGUGUUUUUUGACCCAAGCAAGUAUCUUCUUCUUAUUGGUGUCCUUUAGUAGUGGUUUCUUUGCAGCAAUUCGGCCACAGAGACCUGAUUCACACAGUCUCCUCUGAACAGUUGAUGUUGAGAUGUGUCUGUUACCUGAACUCUGUGAAGCAUGUAUUUGGGCUGCAAACCGAGGUGCAAUUAAAUGAAUUUAUCUUCUGCUGCAGAAGUAACUCUGGGUUUUCCUUUCCUGUGACAGGUCCUCAUGAGAGCCAGUUAACUCUAAUGAACUUAUCCUCUGCAGCAGAGGUAACUCUGGGUCUUCCUUUCCUGUGACAGGUCCUCAUGAGAGCCAGUUUCAUCAUAGCCCUUGAUGGUUUUUGUGACUGCACUUGAAGAAACUUUAAAAGUUCUUGAAAUGUUCCAGAUUUACUGACCUUCAUGUCUUAAAGUAAUGAUGGACUGUCGUUUCUCUUUGCUUAUUUGAGCUGUUCUUGCCAUAAUAUGUACUUGGUAUUUUACCAAGUAGGGCUACCUUCUGUAUAACACCCCUUCCAAAAAUGAACUUUUAACAAGGCACACCUGUUAAUUGAAAUGCAUUCCAGGUGACUACCUCAUGAAGCUGGUUGAGAGAAUGCCAAGCGUGCGCAAAGCUGUUAUCAAGGCAAAGGGUGGCUACAUUUAAGAAUCUCAAACACUUUUUUGGUUACUACAUGGUUCCAUAUGUGUUAUUUCAUAGUUUUGAUGUCUUCACUAUUAUUCUACAAUGUAGAACAUAGUUAAAAUAAAAACCCUUGAAUGAGUAGGUGUGUCCACUGGUCCUGUAUUUACAUACGGUACUAUAAGGAUGGUUAACAUUUUGAGAUUAUGUGAAAUGCAACAGCAAUGAUAUUAAAAAUAAAGUCAUUGUUUUUUCAUAAUA